rnacentral:rRNA from 1 species
AUUGAACGCUGGCGGCAGGCCUAACACAUGCAAGUCGAACGCGUGGCGGACGGGUGAGUAAUGUCUGGGAGACUGCCUGAUGGAGGGGGAUAACUACCGGAAACGGUAGCUAAUACCGCAUACCAUCGGAUGUGCCCAGAUGGCAUUAGCUAGUAUGUGGGGUAACGUCUCACCUAGGCGACGCUCCCUAGCUGGUCUGAGCGGAUGACCAGCAACACUGGAACUGAGACACGGUCCGGACUCCUACGGGAGGCAGCAGUGGGGAAUAUUGCACAAUGGGAGCAAGCCUGAUGCAGCCAUGCCGCGUGUAGGAAGAAGGCCUUCGGGUUGUAAAGUACUUUCAGCGGGGAGGCGUUACCCGCAGAAGAAGCACCGGCUAACUCCGUGCCAGCAGCCGCGGUAAUUC